UACGUAGGGUGCAAGCGUUGCCCGGAUUUAUUGGGCGUAAAGGGCGCGUAGGCGGCUCUGCACGUCCGUUGUGAAAUCGCCCGGCUCAACUGGGCGGGGUCAGCGGAUACGGCAGAGCUUGAGCAAGCUAGGGGGCAAUGGAAUUCCCGGUGUAGUGGUGGAAUGCGUAGAUAUCGGGAGGAACACCAGUGGCGAAGGCGGUUGCCUGGGGCCUUGCUGACGCUGAUGCGCGAAAGCGUGGGGAGCGAUCCGG
rnacentral:rRNA from 1 species